CCUACGGGAGACAGCAGUCGAGAAUCAUUCACAAUGGGGGAAACCCUGAUGGUGCGACGCCGCGUGGGGGAAUGAAGGUCUUCGGAUUGUAAACCCCUGUCUUGUGGGAGCAAAUUAAAAAGAUAGUACCACAAGAGGAAGCGACGGCUAACUCUGUGCCAGCAGCCGCGGUAAUACAGAGGUCUCAAGCGUUGUUAGGAAACACUGGGCGUAAAGCGUGCGUAGGCUGUUUCGUAAGUCGUGUGUGAAAGGGGCGGGCGCAACCCGCGGACGGUACAUGAGAUUGCGAGAUUAGAGUAAUGGAGGGGGAACCGGAAUUCUCGGUGUAGCAGGG
rnacentral:rRNA from 1 species